UUACUUUAUUCUAUUUUUCAUAUUUCUAUUUUUAUUUAUUGUUAUAUAUUCAAUAUUAUAUAUUACAUAUAUUUAAAAUAAAUUAUGCAUUAAUGUCCUGAAAACUUUUCCUGAGAAAUAUUACUAAACAUUAAACACAUAAAAAACGCAAUUAAGAUCACUUGUUCAUAAAAGGACCAAAGACAGCACAACAACAACAACUGAAAUUAAACUACUGCAAAUACUAAACAUUUCUACAAAUUAAGACACAAUAAUGUCUGUAAAUGAUGCAUUUAUAAGAAGACAACCUUACUGUGAUUACAACAUUAAUUCAACUACAGUGAAAACUUUGCUUUAAAAAGCUCUGUAUCAUACAAUAUUUAGUUUCUCUACAUUAACCUACACCAACUUCAUGAGUUUUAAGUUUUAAGUUUUUUACAGUAAAUCAAAUCACAGCAGUGCUACCAGUUUGCUAAAUUAACCAUGGUGACAUUUAAGUACAUAUAAGCUCUUUCAUAAAAAUAUGUUCUUUAAAUAAUUGAUUUCUCCAGUCUGGUCACUUGAGGAGAAACACUGUUUACACCUUCAGCUGAUUUAAAUAAAAAUAAAAAUAAUUCAGCAAUAUGCAAAUAAAGGUCACAUAUAAGGAAGUGAAGUGUGUGUGUGUGUGUGUGUGUGUGUGUCAGUGAGAGGUCAGAGGAGCUCACAUCAGUUCAGCUUCAACAUCAACCAUGUUCUCUGUAGCUCUGAUACUGCUGCUAGCAGUAUCAGAGCUACAGAGAAAGGAGCUUUCAGUGGAUUCACACUAAUAAACACAUUAGAAACGCUGAAUAGUCAUUAACAGGACAGAAUCUGCAGCCUGAGGACACAGCUGUGUAUUACUGUGUACGUGAUACAAACCACCAACAGACCUGCACAAAUACUCAGCAACCAUGUGACUCAACCACACACAUGUGAACAUUAAUGAAGACAUUACUUUCUGAUGAGCUGAUAAUGUCGAUUAAUGUUUAUGGAAUUCACUGAAUGGUGGAGGACAUUUUUUGUCACUGAGAGACAGAGGAAGAUGAGGCUGAGACAAAGAUGCACUUCCUCUACAAUGUACAACAUUCAAUGAAAUAAGGAACGUUUACUUUAACAAGUUCAACUCUGUAAUCUCAUAUUUCAAAUUCAAUAAAUGACCUCUCAAAAUGAAAAAUUAUCUGCCCAAUAUGUAUCUACAUGCCACAACCUGAGGGACAGUGAAUGACCUACACACACACACACACACACACACACACACACACACUGAGAGUCUGUUGAUGGUCAGUGCAUCAAAACCAGCACGAUGACUCGUAGUCGCACUGAGUGGCAGAGAGUCAACAAAGUGCGCUGUUCAGCCAUUAGAGACGAUAUGACACCAGUUAUUCAAGAUCUGACUGUCCACAAAGGAGAUGGGCGUCAGCCAAACGUGACAGUCCACGUCCUCACAGAGGAGGACAUCAGCAAAGGAGCUGAGGCCACUCUGGUGUGUCUGGUCUCCAGUCCUGUGCUGCAGGAUUACUACAUCGCCUGGUCAGAAGAUGAAACCAACAUCUAUACUGAUGGCAUUAACUUCCCCCCACAGAAGACCCAACAUGGCUACUCAGUUAUAAGUGUUUAUACCACCACCAAGGAAAAGUGGGACAAGCACAACAUGUUCAACUGCCACGUCUGGCCUGCUGGCAGCAAUGACUCCAUGAAACCCCGAGGAGUGUCUAAGUCCCAUGAUGAAGAGACGAUAAAGGAUGAGAUGGAUGCACAGCCCAGACGACUACAGGUCUUCAUUUUUUUUUCUUUUUUAAAACAUGUACAUUAUCGAUGAUCUACUGUACAUCUGCUAAAUGAAAUGGUCGUCAUAUAUAAUGAUUAACUAAACACUGAAAAUGGAUUUCUCUGUAACCUGUAGAAAAAUCAAAAAUACAACUGCAAUUGUUAAUUGUUGAUAUGAAUACAUUUGGAUUGUUGUUACAUUAUGAUUACAGAAGUUCUUGAUAACUUUUCAUUAAAAAGUGUUAGUGAAGUGUAGCAUUAACUUGUCAUUGAUAUGUAAAUAACAAAUUGUACUGUAGUAGAAACAGAAAUCUUUGCUUUUCAUUUUUGGUCAUUUUGUUGAUCAAAUUUGCUUUCAUCAUUAAUUCGGUAGAUAUGAUACUUACAAUAGAUGAGAUUUGUACAGACACAAACAUUAAAGGGAGUAUGAAUAUGAGUCAUAGUGUGCUUGUGAUCAACAUAAAAAGCUUCUGAGGAUUUUGUUCACAACAUCUAAAAUAACACCACAUCAAGUCAACGUACUGUAAACUUCUGUUAUCAGUUAAGCUCUGAAGGUUUUUCAAUUUCCUGGAGUUUCUAAACAUAUCAUCUUUAGAGAGUCACUUCCCCUCUCUCUGCACCUCUGGGACCACACCUGUAGCAGUGAAACUUUGUAGAAACCGUCAGAGCUACGAAUAAACUUCCUCAAAGCAAGA